rnacentral:rRNA from 1 species
ACCCCAAGUGCCACUCUUAACGGGGUGGCUUUUCAGAAGUGUAAAAAGCUUCUGGAAUAAGGGCUGGGCAAGACCGGUGCCAGCCGCCGCGGUAACACCGGCAGCUCAAGUGGUAGCCGCUUUUAUUGGGCCUAAAGCGUCCGUAGCCGGUCUGAUAAGUCUCUGGUGAAAUCCCACAGCUUAACUGUGGGAAUUGCUGGAGAUACUAUCAUGACUCGAGGUCGGGAGAGGCUGGAGGUACUCCCAGGGUAGGGGUGAAAUCCUGUAAUCCUGGGAGGACCACCUGUGGCGAAGGCGUCCAGCUGGAACGAACCUGACGCUGAGGCGCGAAAGCGUGGGGAGCGAACAGGAU